UCCUGUGGUCCGGUCCUAUAUUUAUACUCAGAGCGCUCCCAAUCUCUUUCGGUUCCAUUUUCGUUCUUUCUCCCAUCUCCGCCAUUCUUUCUCAGCGGUUCUUUGUUGGCCCCGGGUGGAGAGAUAGGGAGGGAGCGAGGGGAGGAGAGAGUGGGUUAGGGUUUCAGGUUAUGGGAUUGGAGCGAUGUCGGGCGAGAAGCCGCCGGUGGAGCACUGCAAGGGCGUCAAUGGCCUCGACAAGGUCGUGCUGAGAGAGGUCAAGGGGAGUUCGGCUGAGGUGUACCUGUAUGGCGGUCAAGUGACAUCUUGGAAAAAUGACCAUGGGGAGGAGUUGCUUUUUGUCAGCAGUAAGGCAAUUUUCAAGCCUCCAAAACCUAUACGUGGGGGCAUCCCAAUAUGCUUUCCUCAAUUUUCAAACAAUGGACCUCUUGAACAGCAUGGGUUUGCAAGGAACAGGUUCUGGAGUAUUGACACUGACCCACCCCCUUUCCCAACAAAUAGCUCUAAUAAAGCUUUUGUUGAUUUAAUUCUCAAAACAUCUGAAGAAGAUUUAAAGAUCUGGCCCCACAGUUAUGAAUUUCGUCUACGGGUUACUCUGGGACCUGGAGGAGAUCUCAUGCUGAUAUCUCGCAUAAGAAAUACUAAUAAUGAUGGAAAGCCAUUCUCCUUCACAUUUGCAUACCACACUUAUUUUUCUGUUUCUGAUAUCAGUGAAGUGCGAGUUGAAGGAUUGGAGACUCUGGAUUACCUUGAUAACUUAGAGGAAAAGCAGCGCUUCACGGAACAAGGAGAUGCAAUAACAUUUGAAUCUGAAGUGGACAAAAUAUAUCUUAGCACACCAACCAAAAUCGCAAUUUUGGACCAUGAGAAAAAAAGGACUUUUGUUUUGCGGAAAGAUGGACUUCCAGAUGCAGUCUGAUAGCAUAUUAUACCUGCAGUGGUAUGGAAUCCAUGGGACAAGAAGGCCAAGGCCAUGGCAGAUUUUGGUGAUGAUGAGUACAAGCAUAUGUUGUGUGUGGAGGCUGCAGCUAUUGAGAAGCCCAUCACUUUGAAGCCCGGUGAGGAAUGGAAAGGGAGGCUGGAGCUGUCUGCCGUUCCCUCCAGUUACUGUAGCGGGCAACUGGAUCCUCAAAGGGUUCUUCAAGGUUGAAGCAUCUAGCUGUCUGGUAUCCUGUACAGGCACACUCUUGUUGCAUUUAACUUAUGGGUGCUUGGCGGCAAGCUACCAGGAGUUCUUUUCUUCCUUUUCUCAUUCUCCUGUUCCAUUUAAAGCUUUAUGGUGGAUUCAGAGGCAGACUUUUCUAUGGAAUAAUAGUGCCUUAUGUUGAGUUUUGAUUCAUAUCUCAUGCAGAAAAAAAAAAUGUCAACCUGAACCGGUGUGUAGAAAGUGACAAAGUGCUACCUGUUUCUUGUUUUUGUAUCAUGUCAUAAAUUGAUGGUUACCUAAGGCAUGUAUAGAGCCUUUCUAGAUACAUUUGUUAUUGCCAUUUUAUGCCUUCUGCGGUAAACUCUGUUCAGGUUAUGAAAUUCAUAUUAGAAAAGCCCUUGUUUCUCAAGUAUUUGAUC